UACGGAGGAUGCAAGCGUUAUCCGGAAUGAUUGGGCGUAAAGUGUCCGCAGGUGGCAGUUCAAGUCUGCUGUCAAAGACCGGGGCUUAACUUCGGAAAGGCAGUGGAAACUGAACAGCUAGAGUAUGGUAGGGGCAGAGGGAAUUCCUGGUGUAGCGGUGAAAUGCGUAGAGAUCAGGAAGAACAUCGGUGGCGAAGGCGCUCUGCUGGACCAUAACUGACACUCAGGGACGAAAGCUAGGGGAGCGAAUGGG
rnacentral:rRNA from 1 species